AACGAACGCUGGCGGCAUGCCUAACACAUGCAAGUCGAACGAGACCUUCGGGUCUAGUGGCGCACGGGUGCGUAACGCGUGGGAACCUGCCCUUAGGUUCGGAAUAACUCCCCGAAAGGGGUGCUAAUACCGGAUAAUGUCUUCGGACCAAAGAUUUAUCGCCUUUGGAUGGGCCCGCGUUGGAUGAGCUAGGUGGUAGGGUAAAAGCCUACCAAGGCGACGAUCCAUAGCGGGUCUGAGAGGAUGAUCAGCCACACUGGGACUGAGACACGGCCCAGACUCCGACGGGAGGCAGCAGUGGGGAAUACUCGGCAAUGGGCGCAAGGGUGAUCCAGCCAUAUCGCGGGGGUUAAGAAGGACUUCGGGUUGGUAAGCCCUGUAGUUGGGAAAGAAAAGCAGCAGGUUAAUACCCCGUUGUGCUGACGGUACCCAAAGAAUAAGCACCGGCUAACUUCGUG
rnacentral:rRNA from 1 species